rnacentral:rRNA from 1 species
AACGAACGCUGGCGGCGCGCCUAAUACAUGCAAGUCGAGCGAGAAGACGUAGCAAUACGUUUGUAAAGCGGCGAACGGGUGAGGAAUACAUGGGUAACCUACCCUCGAGUGGGGAAUAACUAGCCGAAGGUUAGCUAAUACCGCGUACGCUCCUUGGACUUCGGUUCAGGGAGGAAAGCGAUACCGUGGGUAUCGCGCUCUUGGAUGGGCUCAUGUCCUAUCAGCUUGUUGGUGAGGAACGGCUCACCAAGGCUUCGACGGGUAGCUGGUCUGAGAGGACGAUCAGCCACACUGGCACUGCGACACGGGCCAGACUCCUACGGGAGGCAGCAGUAAGGAAUAUUGCGCAAUGGGCGAAAGCCUGACGCAGCGACGCCGCGUGGGGGA